rnacentral:tRNA from 1 species
UAGCUGAGUGGUAGAGCAUGUGCCUAGCAUGCACAGUGCUCUGGGUUCAAUCCCCAG